UACGUAGGGGGCGAGCGUUGUCCGGAAUUAUUGGGCGUAAAGAGCGUGUAGGCGGUUCGGUAAGUCUGCCGUGAAAACCCAGGGCUCAACCCUGGGCGUGCGGUGGAUACUGCCGGGCUAGAGGGUGGUAGAGGCGAGUGGAAUUCCGAGUGUAGCGGUGAAAUGCGCAGAUAUUCGGAGGAACACCAGUAGCGAAGGCGGCUCGCUGGGCCAUACCUGACGCUGAGACGCGAAAGCGUGGGGAGCAAACAGG
rnacentral:rRNA from 1 species